CUUAAUUACUAAGUGUUUGAUUUAAAAUAGUUAAUAUCAUAUGUAUUUACAUAACAUUUGAUCAAGAUGUCGAAAGGGUUUUGGACUUUGUGUGUUAUGUUUUUUAUAUUCUCCACACACUUACAUAUCGGUUACAGUGAUAGACAAGAUGAAGAAAAUGUCCUUAUGGAAGCUGACAAAGGGACUUUGACAUGCUACUUCUGUCGUGGUAUGGGUCCGGACAAUGACUGCGAGAAAUUCGAGCCUUAUAAAGAUGCCAGGGACGCCGCGGACGCUGGGAGACAAGCAUGAUGGUCCUGUCACACUAAAGACGUGCUCAUCACCGUUUAAUAAGUCAUGCAUUAUUGAAACAUACGCUAACAACAAUGGGGAGGUCGCUCACGUACGAGACUGUAGUGAUGAUAAAACGUUUGACUUUUACAGAAAGUGCGACAAAUAUUUCCAGUUACUCUCGUCUGCUCGGUCUCCGUGACAAUAAUGAAACCGCGUGCACAUACGAUGGCCAGAAUAUGGUUUGUCUGAGUAAAUGUGGUCCCAGUGAAAACUAUACAGGCUUUUGUAACGGCCCUCAGUUUGGCAGUACAGAUAUGACGUCAUUUUCAAAAAUAUUGUUUUUGACGAUAACAUUUUGUUAUAUUUUGUUCUACCCAUGAUAUUUGUUGUGUGACCAAUGCAAUUGGAUGCUUUUAUAAAUGAAUAGUGUUUAAAAGUUACUGAAUUAUUCUACGAUUGUUAGGUUAGGAAUGCACUGUAUAAUUGUCGGGGAAAAAUACACAGAUCUGGAGACAAAUCCCUGUAAAGAUAUGUCAUAAAAAUGUAUUGAAA
rnacentral:lncRNA from 1 species